GGCGAGUGAAGCGGCAACAGCUCAAAUUUGAAAGCCUCGGCGUUGUAAUUUGAAGGCGCGCAGCAGGCAGCAGACAAGUGCCCCUGGAACGGGCCGCCUCAGAGGGUGACAGCCCCGUACCGCAGCCAGCUCUGCGCGCCGACGAGUCGAGUUGUUUGGGAAUGCAGCUCCAAGUGGGUGGUAAACUCCAUCUAAAGCUAAAUACCGGCGAGAGACCGAUAGCGAACAAGUACAGUGAUGGAAAGAUGAAAAGCACUUUGAAAAGAGAGUGAAACAGUACGUGAAAUUGUUGAAAGGGAAGGGUUGGCGCGCAGACACCGCAAGGGCCGGGGGAGAGUUGGUGCCGCAGGAGAAGCGGCGGAGUCGCUUCGGCCAUGCUCCGCUACACGCUGCGGCCGCCGACUGAGGACCGCU
rnacentral:rRNA from 2 species